GAUGAACGCUGGCGGCGUGCUUAACACAUGCAAGUCGAACGAUGAACUUGGAGCUUGCUCUGGGGGAUUAGUGGCGAACGGGUGAGUAACACGUGAGUAACCUGCCCUGGACUCUGGGAUAACUUCGAGAAAUCGGAGCUAAUACCGGAUAGGACCUUGCACCGCAUGGUGUGGGGUGGAAAGUUUUUCGGUUUGGGAUGGACUCGCGGCCUAUCAGCUUGUUGGUGGGGUAAUGGCUCACCAAGGCGUCGACGGGUAGCCGGCCUGAGAGGGUGACCGGCCACACUGGGACUGAGACACGGCCCAGACUCCUACGGGAGGCAGCAGUGGGGAAUAUUGCACAAUGGGCGCAAGCCUGAUGCAGCAACGCCGCGUGCGGGAUGACGGCCUUCGGGUUGUAAACCGCUUUUAGUAGGGAAGAAGCCUUCGGGUGACGGUACCUGCAGAAAAAGGACCGGCUAACUACGUGCCAGCCGCCGCAGUAACAC
rnacentral:rRNA from 1 species